rnacentral:rRNA from 1 species
AGUGAACGCUGGCGGUAGGCCUAACACAUGCAAGUCGAACGGCAGCACAGUAAGAGCUUGCUCUUACGGGUGGCGAGUGGCGGACGGGUGAGGAAUACAUCGGAAUCUACUUUUUCGUGGGGGAUAACGUAGGGAAACUUACGCUAAUACCGCAUACGACCUACGGGUGAAAGCAGGGGAUCUUCGGACCUUGCGCGAUUGAAUGAGCCGAUGUCGGAUUAGCUAGUUGGCGGGGUAAAGGCCCACCAAGGCGACGAUCCGUAGCUGGUCUGAGAGGAUGAUCGGCAACACUGGAAAUGAGACACGGUCCAGACUCCUACGGGAGGCAGCAUUGGGGAAUCUUGGACAAUGGGCGCAAGCCUGACCGAGCAAUGCCGCGUGAGUGAAGAAGGCCUUCGGAUCGUAAAGCGCUUUUAUUAGGAAAGAAAAAAAGCAGAAUAAUAUCCCCGUGUCCUGACGGUACCUAAUGAAUAAGCCACGGCUAACUUCGUG